GCCGACGUAGCUCAGUAGGUAGAGCAACUGAUUCGUAAUCAGUAGGUCGGGGGUUCGACUCCCUCCGUCGGCACCA
rnacentral:tRNA from 1 species